UGUAAAGAAUGAAAGUUGAAAUCAGCUGUUUACUUGUUUAGUAGAACAGGAUGAACGACUGCUGUGGAGUGUAUUUACGAGUCUGAUUUGUUUGAAUGUAUUUGAGUCGAAUGUAUAUCAAUAAUGGCCAAUGCAGAAGACCUGAACGCGAUUUCGACUCUUCAUGAAGACGUUUAUCAUGGAAUUCAUUCAGACAAUGGAGAAUGGGUCGAUUUGCUCACACAUCAUAGAGAACCUGUUCGAGAUCCGGUUGCUAUUCGAGGUGCUGGGAAUGUUACUGUGUUUGGACUUAGUAAUCGUUUUGACACAGAAUUCCCAUCUGCCCUGACAGGCAAGGUCGCUCCUGAAGAGUUCAGCGAAACACUUCAGAGAAUAAAUUCUGUCUUGAAAAAAACUCUUCCAGUGAAUGUUAAGUGGUUGUUUUGUGGGUGUAUAUGUUGUUGCUGUACUUUGGGUUGUUCACUUUGGCCUGUAGUUUGCCUCAGUAAAAGGACAAGGCAUGCACUUGAGAAACUUCUUGACUGGGAAAAUAGCCACUUGUACAGUAAGUUGGGAUUACAUUGGAGGCUAUCUAAACAAAGAUGUGACAGUUCAGCCAUGGUGGAAUAUGUGCUAUUGGUCGAAUUUGUACCUCGACUUCAGAUUCAUCGUCCCGAUUAACAGGAAAUGGAAACUCAAGGAAAAUUGCGCACAAUUUUGACUGCUCAUUGUUGGAUGUCGUUUCUUAUUCUUCAUCAUCGGCCAGAAUUGUCUGUUAUAAAUGGUCUUUCUUACGCUUGUACUUUUCCUCCGAAAGGGUUUAUUUGUCAGUAUGACAACUUUAAGAUCUCUCUGCUUAAAUGUUGAACGACUCCCUAAUCAUGUAAACGUCUUUGUAAUGUGUUGCGGGCAAUAAACAUGUCGUUUAUGGAGAAAA
rnacentral:misc_RNA from 1 species